GGGGUCUUAGCUCAUUUGGCAGAGCGCGCGCUUAGCAUGCACGAGGUAGGGGGUUCGAUUCCCUCAGACUCCU